rnacentral:rRNA from 1 species
UAUGGCCCCUGGAUUGGACUGCGGCCGAUCAGGCUGUUGGUGAGGUAAUGGCCCACCAAACCUGUAACCGGUACGGGCUCUGAGAGGAGGAGCCCGGAGAUGGGCACUGAGACAAGGGCCCAGGCCCUAUGGGGCGCAGCAGGCGCGAAACCUCUGCAAUAGGCGAAAGCUUGACAGGGUUACUCUGAGUGAUUUCCGUUAAGGAGAUCUUUUGGCACCUCUAAAAAUGGUGCAGAAUAAGGGGUGGGCAGGUCUGGUGUCAGCCGCCGCGGUAAUACCAGCACCCCGAGUGGUCGGGACGUUUAUUGGGCCUAAAGCAUCCGUAGCCGGUUCUACAAGUCUUCCGUUAAAUCCACCUGCUCAACAGAUGGGCUGCGGAAGAUACUAUGGAGCUAGGAGGCGGGAGAGGCAAGCGGUACUCGAUGGGUAGGGGUAAAAUCCGUUGAUCC